UUGCCUCAGUAACGGCGAGUGAAGCGGCAACAGCUCAAAUUUGAAAUCUGACCCUUUGGGGUCCGAGUUGUAAUUUGCAGAGGGUGUUUCGGGCACGGUGCCGGUUUAAGUCCUUUGGAACAGGGUGUCAUAGAGGGUGAGAACCCCGUAUGUGACCGGUCGCCAAACCUAUGUGAAACCCCUUCGACGAGUCGAGUUGUUUG
rnacentral:rRNA from 1 species